UACAGAGGUCCCAAGCGUUGUUCGGAUUCACUGGGCGUAAAGGGUGCGUAGGCGGUCGGGUAAGUCUGAUGUGAAAUCUCACAGCUUAACUGUGAAACUGCAUUGGAUACUAUCCGGCUAGAGGAAUGGAGGGGAGACUGGAAUACUUGGUGUAGCAGUGAAAUGCGUAGAUAUCAAGUGGAACACCAGUGGCGAAGGCGAGUCUCUGGACAUUUCCUGACGCUGGGGAGCGAAAGCGUGGGGAGCGAACAGG
rnacentral:rRNA from 1 species